AGCGAACGCUGGCGGCAGGCUUAACACAUGCAAGUCGAACGCCAUCUUCGGAUGGAGUGGCAGACGGGUGAGUAACGCGUGGGAACGUACCCUUUGGUUCGGAAUAUUCUCGGGAAACUGAGAGCAAUACCGGAUAAGCCCUACGGGGGAAAGAUUUAUCGCCAAAGGAGCGGCCCGCGUCAGAUUAGGUAGUUGGUGGGGUAAAGGCCUACCAAGCCUACGAUCUGUAGCUGGUCUGAGAGGAUGAUCAGCCACACUGGGACUGAGACACGGCCCAGACUCCUACGGGAGGCAGCAGUGGGGAAUCUUGGACAAUGGGCGCAAGCCUGAUCCAGCCAUGCCGCGUGGAUGAUGAAGGCCUUAGGGGUUGUAAAAAUCCUUUCAACGGGGGACGAUAAUGACGGUACCCGUAGAAGAAGCCCCGGCUAACUUCGUG
rnacentral:rRNA from 1 species